rnacentral:rRNA from 1 species
CGGGUGCACUGAUCCGGCCGGGCCUUUCCCUCUGUGGAACCCCAUGGCCUUCACUGGCUGUGCGGGGGAAACAGGACUUUUACUGUGAAAAAAUUAGAGUGCUCCAGGCAGGCCUAUGCUCGAAUACAUUAGCAUGGAGUAAUAGAAUAGGACGCGUGGUUCUAUUUUGUUGGUUUCUAGGACCGCCGUAAUGAUUAAUAGGGACAGUCGGGGGCAUCAGUAUUCAAUUGUCAGAGGUGAAAUUCUUGGAUCUAUUGAAGACUAACUACUGCGAAAGCAUUUGCCAAGGAUGUUUUCAUUGAUAAGGAACGAAAGUUAGGGGAUCGAAGACGAUCAGAUACCGUCGUAGUCUUAACUAUAAACUAUGCCGACUAGGGAUCGGACGAUGUUAUUUCUUGACGCGUUCGGCACCUUUCGAGAAAUCAAAGUGCUUGGGCUCCAGGGGGAGUAUGGUCGCAAGGCUGAAACUUAAAGAAAUUGACGGAAGGGCACCACCAGGGGUGGAACCUGCGGCUUAAUUUGACUCAACACGGGGAAACUCACCAGGUCCAGACACAGUGAGGAUUGACAGAUUGAGAGCUCUUUCUUGAUUCUGUGGGUGGUGGUGCAUGGCCGUUCUUAGUUGGUGGAGUGAUUUGUCUGCUUAAUUGCGAUAACGAACGAGACCUUAACCUGCUAAAUAGCCCGUACUGCUCUGGCAGUUCGCCGGCUUCUUAGAGGGACUAUCGG